GGUUAUAAAUUAAGUUUGAUCUAAGAUGUUAAGGUGUUUUUAGUUGUAAAUAACGGGGUAUGAUGAUGGAUGUUAGAUGUGGUGGUGUGAUACUAUGUAUAUAAAGGGGUACAAUGAUAGAUGUUAGAUGUGGCGGAGUGAUACUCUGUAUAUAAAUGGGUAGAAUGAUAGAUGUCAGAUGUGGCGGUAUGAAACUCUGUAUAUAAAUGGGUACAAGGAUGGAUGUAAGAUGUGGCGGUGUGAUACUCUGUAUAUAAAGGGGUACAAGGAGGGAUGUUAGAUGUGGCGGUGUGAUACUCUGUAUAUAAAGGGGUACAAGGAUGGAUGUUAGAUGUGGUGGUGUGAUACUCUAUAUAUAAAGGGGUACAAGGAUAGAUGUUAGAUGUGGCGGUGUGAUACUCUGUAUAUAAAUGGAUAAAGGAUGGAUGUAAGAUGUCGCGGUGUGAUACUCUGUAUAUAAAGGGGUGUAAGGAUGAAUGUAAGAUGUGGCGGUGUGAUACUCUGUAUAUAAAGGGGUACAAGGAUGGAUGUUAGAUGUGGUGGUGUGAUACUCUAUAUAUAAAGGGGUACAAGGAUAGAUGUUAGAUGUGGCGGUGUGAUACUCUGUAUAUAAAUGGGUAAAGGAUGGAUGUAAGAUGUCGCGGUGUGAUACUCUGUAUAUAAAGGGGUGUAAGGAUGAAUGUAAGAUGUGGCGGUGUGAUACUCUGUAUAUUAAGGGGUACAAGGAUGGAUGUUAGAUGUGGUGGUGUGAUACUCUGUAUAUAAAGGGGUACAAGGAUAGAUGUUAGAUGUGGCGGAGUGAUACUCUGUAUAUUAAGGGGUACAAGGAUGGAUGUUAGAUGUAAUGGUGUGAUACUCUGUAUAUAAAGGGGUACAAGGAUGGAUGUUAGAUGUAGCGGUAUGAUACUCUGUAUAUAAAGGGGUACAAGGAUAGAUGUUAGAUGUGGCGGUAUGAUACACUGUAUAUAAAGGGGUACACGGAUAGAUGUUAGAUGUGGCGGUAUGAUACUCUGUAUAUAAAAGGGUACAAUGAUGGAUGUUAGAUGUGUUGGAGUGAUACUCUGUAUAUAAAGGGGUACGAGGAUGGAUGUUAGAUGUGGCGGUGUGAUACUCUGUAUAUAAAGGGGUACAAGGAUGGAUGUUAGAUGUGGUGGUGUGAUACUCUGUAUAUAAAUGGGUAAAGGAUGGAUGUAAGAUGUCGCGGUGUGAUACUCUGUAUAUAAAGGGGUGUAAGGAUGAAUGUAAGAUGUGGCGGUGUGAUACUCUGUAUAUAAAGGGAUACAAGGAUGGAUGUCAGAUGUGGCGGUGUGAUACUCUGUAUAUAAAGGGGUACAAGGAUGGAUGUUAGAUGUGGCGGUGUGAUACUCUGUAUAUAAAGGGGUACAAGGAUGGAUGUAAGAUGUGGUGGUGUGAUACUCUGUAUAUAAAGGGAUACAAGGAUGGAUGUCAGAUGUGGCGGCGUGAUACUCUGUAUAUAAAGGGGUACAAGGAUAGAUGUUAGAUGUGGUGAUGUGAUACUCUGUAUAUAAAGGGGUACAAGGAUGGAUGUUAGAUGUGGCGGUAUGAUACUAGUACUCUGUAUAUAAAGGGGUACAAGGAUAGAUGUUAGAUGUGGCGGUGUGAUACUCUGUAUAUAAAGGGGUACAAGGAUGGAUGUUAGAUGUGGUGGUGUGAUACUCUGUAUAUAAAGGGGUACAAGGAUAGAUGUUAGAUGUGGCGGAGUGGUACUCUGUAUAUAAAGGGGUACAAGGAUGGAUGUUAGAUGUAAUGGUGUGAUACUCUGUAUAUAAAGGGGUACAAGGAUGGAUGUUAGAUGUAGCGGUAUGAUACUCUGUAUAUAAAGGGGUACAAGGAUAGAUGUUAGAUGUGGCGGUAUGAUACUCUGUAUAUAAAAGGGUACAAUGAUGGAUGUUAGAUGUGUUGGAGUGAUACUCUGUAUAUAAAGGGGUACGAGGAUGGAUGUUAGAUGUGGUGGUGUGAUACUCUGUAUAAAAAGGGGUACAAGGAUGGAUGUAAGAUGUGACGGUGUGAUACUCUGUAUAUAAAGGGGUACAAGGAUUGAUGUUAGAUGUGGUGGUGUGAUGCUCUGUAUAUAAAGGGGUACAAGGAUGGAUGUUAAAUGUGGCGGUAUGAUACUCUGUAUAUUAAGGGGUAUACGGAUGGAUGUUAGAUGUGGUGGUGUGAUGCUCUGUAUAUAAAAGGGUGCAAUGAUGGAUGUUAGAUGCGGUACGUGGUGUGAUGCUCUGUAUAUAAAGGGGUACAAGGAUGGAUGUUAGAUGUGGUGGUGUGAUGCUCUGUAUAUUAAAGGGGUACAAGGAUGGAUGUUAGAUGUGGUGGUGUGAUACUCUGUAUAUAAAGGGGUACAAGGAUGGAUUGAAGAUGUGGCGGUGUGAUACUCUGUAUAUAAAGGGGUACAAGAAUUGAUGUUAUAUGUGGCGGUGUUAUACUCUGUAUAUAAAGGGGUACAAGGAUGGAUGUAAGAUGUGGCGGUGUGAUACUCUGUAUAUAAAGGGGUCCAUGAUAUAUGUUAGAUGUGGCGGUGUAGUAAGUUGUAUUUAACGGGGUACAAUGACAAAUAUGAUAUGUGACAGUGACAUAAGUUGUAUAUAACA